AGAUGUCGAGGCUCGCCCAGAAGAGGCAAUUUUAUCUGUUCGACAUGAACGCGUCUGGAUGGAGGGCAAUUGCGACAGCGAAAAAUGAGAAUUAGUGACAGCGACUUGAAGACUAGUUCCGGGGGGUCAGCACCCCAGGCCCUCUUUGAAACCUGCCAUGGGGUGAGAGCUGUGGCAGAGAGGAGGAAGCUGUGAAAGCCGCAGGCAGCGGGCUGAGUGGCUCAAUUGGUCCUGGCCAUCUUCUUCACUCCUAGGACUUCUCAGUGUGUCUCUACUCUCGUCAUUUAAGCACAGCGAUAAUCAAUCAUCUGCUGCCCUCGCACUGUCAGCGGAGUCAGCAGGCACGUGAUUAAACGCGCCGGCUGCGCGGGGCUCCCUCCAUCCCUGCAUCCCUGCAUCCCUGCAUCCCCGCAUCCCUCCAUCCGCCCGCCCGUCCUGCCCUUCCGGCUGGCGCUCGCCGCCC
rnacentral:lncRNA from 1 species